rnacentral:tRNA from 1 species
GGAGGUGUGGCCGAGUGGUUGAAGGCAACAGUCUUGAAAACUGUCGUGCCCGAAAGGGUACCGUGAGUUCGAAUCCCACCGCCUCCGCAA